GAUGAACGCUGGCGGCGUGCCUAAUACAUGCAAGUCGAGCGAACGGACGAGAAGCUUGCUUUUCUGAUGUUAGCGGCGGACGGGUGAGUAACACGUGGAUAACCUACCUAUAAGACUGGGAUAACUUCGGGAAACCGGAGCUAAUACCGGAUAAUAUUUUGAACCGCAUGGUUCAAAAGUGAAAGACGGUCUUGCUGUCACUUAUAGAUGGAUCCGCGCUGCAUUAGCUAGUUGGUAAGGUAACGGCUUACCAAGGCAACGAUGCAUAGCCGACCUGAGAGGGUGAUCGGCCACACUGGAACUGAGACACGGUCCAGACUCCUACGGGAGGCAGCAGUAGGGAAUCUUCCGCAAUGGGCGAAAGCCUGACGGAGCAACGCCGCGUGAGUGAUGAAGGUCUUCGGAUCGUAAAACUCUGUUAUUAGGGAAGAACAUAUGUGUAAGUAACUGUGCACAUCUUGACGGUACCUAAUCAGAAAGCCAGGGCUAACUACGUG
rnacentral:rRNA from 1 species